ACAUAAGCAAUAAGCCGCAGACUUAAU
rnacentral:piRNA from 1 species